AUUCGCUCUGAUUUUACUCUUCAUUAUUGAGAAAUGUGUUACUAUUGUUAUCUGAGUGGGUGUUUUGGCAUUACACAUUGGAGUCCCAGAUAGCGAGGCUCUUUGUAAGGGUCGGUUGCCUGCUAUGAUCCCAAAGCAGUGGGCCAGCACCCCACCUAUCAACAUCGACACACACACAAUUCUAAGAAACAUCUAACAUCGCUGGACAUGGAAUCAGGCCACUAUCGGAACCCACUUCUCACCAGACCACCAGAGAUAGUACGCCCAGCUUUUGAGCCAUGUUUAGAAAACCUCUUACCCGGGUAACUGAGCUCAGGAGUGAGGAAAGAGAGGGAGCGGCAGAGCCUGUCUGGAGGACGAAGGUUGACGAGGUCCAUGGGAAUUCUGAGAGGAUGGAGGCUGCAAGAUGUGUGUUCUGGGGCACCUCUGCUCACAUCUACUGUCUGUUGCGCGGCAUGGGCCUGAUCAGUUUCCGGUGGCUUCUACAGAGGUGGGAGAUGGACAAGAGAAGAAGGGUGUUGAGUGGGAAACUGUCAACUGUAAAGCAAGUGAAGCUCAUCCAGUAUCAAUCUCCCAAUGCUUCACCAAGAGAGUCCGUCGCUCUCAUCAAUAUGGGUCAUGCUUACAUUUGGAAUUAAAUUAGCUAAUAAAAUAUA